AAAAACAGCUGUCAGAGUCCAAUGACCCAGAAACUGACUAAUACCAGAGCCACGGCACUUCUGUCCAAAUGCGUUGCACACCCGACACACUUCCAGGUGAUCUUCCGGGACUUGGACCUCACCGCACAUGGUUCGAGCCUCGCAAGCAUUCUUACAAUAUGGAUGGGGAUCACCGGUCUUGAAAAAUACCUGAUUCUGCUCACAUUUGCUGAAACGCGGAGAUCAAACGAGAGAUGUGUCACAGCUUCGGGAAGAACUGUAUUCUGAAGCGUAAAACAGAAAGAACACCCAUUAGUUGAGGCAAACGCAGCCCAUUGCUUUACAUCAUCGCUCUUUCCAUGUGGACAAAAAGUCAAGGGCGCUCACCGAAAUGUGAUUUUAAAAGCCCCAUCUCAUUGUGAUAGCCAUUGCUACACAAGGCAUAGGUAUAUAGAUAGAGUGUCCUUCCGCCCCUCAAUGAUAAAUGAAAUGUAUGUACCUCGGCACAACUUUCGAAGACCGUUUUCUCUUCUUUGAGGUGCCCUUCAAAGCCCUUUUUAAAGAAAGAGAAAGGUUGGCCAACGUCAAAGGGAACUUUGAAAAAAAAAACACAUUCCGAGACGUUCAAGUUGCAAUUUUUCCAGACCCUAUGAUCAAUCUAUGCAAAGCACCCUUGCAAAAAUGGUGGUUAUAUCUGAUAUACCUUAUCUGUUGCUAUCGUUUCUUUUUUAUGUUUUUAUGUAGCAACUAGUACAUUCUUCAGAUUAAGAGAGAGGUCCAUAUUUUGAGUGGUGUAUAUUGUGUCGAGUCAUCCUGUCUUACAAUUCUCUUGCUUAAUGAGGGGUUCAAGGGUUCAUAUCGGUUUGGAUGGGCAUGUGCUUACAUGUAUUACAAUGUAUUACAUACAAAAUUCAAAAUGAAGGUCUUCAAACGAAGUACCUCGGAAUUUACAAAAGGUUCGAAAGAAGAUGAAUGGGAAAAUCCACGAGUUC